rnacentral:rRNA from 1 species
GACGAACGCUGCCGGCGUGCUUAACACAUGCAAGUCGAACGGAAAGGCCCUGCUUUUGUGGGGUGCUCGAGUGGCGAACGGGUGAGUAACACGUGAGUAACCUGCCCUUGACUUUGGGAUAACUUCAGGAAACUGGGGCUAAUACCGGAUAGGAGCUCCUGCUGCAUGGUGGGGGUUGGAAAGUUUCGGCGGUUGGGGAUGGACUCGCGGCUUAUCAGCUUGUUGGUGGGGUAGUGGCUUACCAAGGCUUUGACGGGUAGCCGGCCUGAGAGGGUGACCGGCCACAUUGGGACUGAGAUACGGCCCAGACUCCUACGGGAGGCAGCAGUGGGGAAUAUUGCACAAUGGGCGGAAGCCUGAUGCAGCAACGCCGCGUGCGGGAUGACGGCCUUCGGGUUGUAAACCGCUUUCGCCUGUGACGAAGCGUGAGUGACGGUAAUGGGUAAAGAAGCACCGGCUAACUACGUGCCAGCAGCCGCGGUGAUACGUAGGGUGCGAGCGUUGUCCGGAUUUAUUGGGCGUAAAGGGCUCGUAGGUGGUUGAUCGCGUCGGAAGUGUAAUCUUGGGGCUUAACCCUGAGCGUGCUUUCGAUACGGGUUGACUUGAGGAAGGUAGGGGAGAAUGGAAUUCCUGGUGGAGCGGUGGAAUGCGCAGAUAUCAGGAGGAACACCAGUGGCGAAGGCGGGUCUCUGGGCCUUUCCUGACGCUGAGGAGCGAAAGCGUGGGGAGCGAACAGGCUUAGAUACCCUGGUAGUCCACGCUGUAAACGGUGGGUACUAGGUGUGGGGUCCAUUCCACGGGUUCCGUGCCGUAGCUAACGCUUUAAGUACCCCGCCUGGGGAGUACGGCCGCAAGGCUAAAACUCAAAGGAAUUGACGGGGCCCCGCACAAGCGGCGGAGCAUGCGGAUUAAUUCGAUGCAACGCGUAGAACCUUACCUGGGUUUGACAUGGAUCGGGAGUGCUCAGAGAUGGGUGUGCCUCUUUUGGGGUCGGUUCACAGGUGGUGCAUGGCUGUCGUCAGCUCGUGUCGUGAGAUGUUGGGUUAAGUCCCGCAACGAGCGCAACCCUUGUUCACUGUUGCCAGCACGUUAUGGUGGGGACUCAGUGGAGACCGCCGGGGUCAACUCGGAGGAAGGUGGGGAUGACGUCAAGUCAUCAUGCCCCUUAUGUCCAGGGCUUCACGCAUGCUACAAUGGCUGGUACAGAGGGUGGCGAGCCUGUGAGGGUGAGCGAAUCUCGGAAAGCCGGUCUCAGUUCGGAUUGGGGUCUGCAACUCGACCUCAUGAAGUCGGAGUCGCUAGUAAUCGCAGAUCAGCAACGCUGCGGUGAAUACGUUCCCGGG